UUUCCGGUUGAUCCUGCCGGACCUGACUGCUAUCGGAUUGAUACUAAGCCAUGCGAGUCAUUGUAGCAAUACAAGGCAGACGGCUCAGUAACGCGUAGUCAACCUAACCUAUGGACGGGAAUAACCUCGGGAAACUGAGAAUAAUGCCCGAUAGAACACUAUGCCUGGAAUGGUUUGUGUUCCAAAUGAUUUAUCGCCGUAGGAUGGGACUGCGGCCUAUCAGUUUGUUGGUGAGGUAAUGGCCCACCAAGACUAUUACAGGUACGGGCUCUGAGAGGAGUAGCCCGGAGAUGGGUACUGAGACACGGACCCAGGCCCUAUGGGGCGCAGCAGGCGAGAAAACUUUGCAAUGUGCGAAAGCACGACAAGGUUAAUCCGAGUGGUUUCUGCUAAAGGAACCUUUUGUCGGUCCUAGAAACACCGAUGAAUAAGGGGUGGGCAAGUUCUGGUGUCAGCCGCCGCGGUAAAACCAGCACCUCAAGUGGUCAGGAUGAUUAUUGGGCCUAAAGCAUCCGUAGCCUGCUUUGUUAGUUUUCGGUUAAAUCUAUACGCUCAACGUAUAGGCUGCCGGGAAUACUGCAAAGCUAGGGAGUGGGAGAGGUAGACGGUACUCGGUAGGAAGGGGUAAAAUCCUUUGAUCUAUUGAUGACCACCUGUGGCGAAGGCGGUCUACCAGAACACGUCCGACGGUGAGGGAUGAAAGCUGGGGGAGCAAACCGGAUUAGAUACCCGGGUAGUCCCAGCCGUAAACCAUGCAAACUCAGUGAUGCAUUGGCUUGUGGCCAAUGCAGUGCUGCAGGGAAGCCGUUAAGUUUGCCGCCUGGGAAGUACGUACGCAAGUAUGAAACUUAAAGGAAUUGGCGGGGGAGCACCACAAGGGGUGAAGCCUGCGGUUCAAUUGGAGUCAACGCCGGGA
rnacentral:rRNA from 1 species